AACGAACGCUGGCGGCAGGCCUAACACAUGCAAGUCGAACGCACCGCAAGGUGAGUGGCGCACGGGUGAGUAACACGUGGGAAUGUAUCCUUUGGUUCGGAAUAACGUCUGGAAACGGACGCUAAUGCCGGAUGAGCCCUGAGGGGGAAAGAUUUAUCGCCAAAGGAGCAGCCCGCGUCUGAUUAGGUAGUUGGUGGGGUAAAGGCCUACCAAGCCGACGAUCAGUAGCUGGUCUGAGAGGAUGAUCAGCCACACUGGGACUGAGACACGGCCCAGAGUCCUACGGGAGGCAGCAGUGGGGAAUAUUGGACAAUGGGCGCGAGCCUGAUCCAGCCAUGCCGCGUGAGUGAUGAAGGCCUUCGGGUUGUAAAGCUCUUUCGCACACGACGAUGAUGACGGUAGUGUGAGAAGAAGCCCCGGCUAACUUCGUGCCAGCCGCCGCGGUAAGAC
rnacentral:rRNA from 1 species